rnacentral:rRNA from 1 species
AUGAAAGAACACUUUGAUGCUCACAACGUGAGUGGAAUUGACCGCUCCGAGAGAUUACUUCGGUCCCGAUGGUCGACAAUCAACUCGGAUUGUCAAAAGUGGGCGGCCGCACAAAAGACGGUUGACAAGUUGAACCCAAGUGGCACAAAUGAGGACGAUAGAGUAAGUGAAGAGGAUAGGAAAACCAAGAAGGGGAAGAUCAAGAAAGGAAGGGUCUUUACCUUGCCUCAUUGCUACAAAGUGUUGAAGGAUGAUGAGAAAUGGAAGAAGCGUGAAGAUUUGGAUGAUUUGCAUUUGAGCAACAAACGCAAGCGAACAAUUGAGUUGAAUGAUGAGGAGGAGGAAGAGGAGGAGGAUGCAUCAAGUGAUGACGACAAGAGAAGCCCCACACCCAACUCGGUUUCAUACUCGAAGCCAAAACGACCGGAUGGGUGCAAGAAAGACAAAACCGAAAAGAAGAAGAGGAAAGGAGAUGAUGAGCUCAAAAAUGCUAUGGAAGCUAUUGUGAAGGCAAGAAAAGAAGCCGACGAGGUGAGGAAAAUGGCAAGGAACCAAGAUGCCGCGGCCGAGGAGAGGAGGUUGGCGGCCGAGGAGAGGAAGGUGGCUUUGGAGGAGAGGAAGGUGAGCAAUGAGGAGCGAACUAGAUUGUUGGAAUGGGAGAAGCACUUGUUCUUCUUGGACACAUCUAACCUCAAUGAGGCGCAAAAAGAGUAUGUCAAUCUUGCCCGUGAAGAAGUGUUG